AGCUGCUUUAGCUGAUCGCCAGAAAAUGCAGAAUAGCGGUGGAGGCAUUCACAUGGGUCUAACACAGGGAAAGUGCUUUGUAAGUGGAGUCGAGUGAACUCGGUGGAGACAGACCUUGGACUUCAACCCAGGGCCCUUGGGGUCAAGUUUGAGCAGAUGUUUCCAAACUGGGAAUCUCUGGACCAGCACUGUCAACUUUGCCCCACCUGGAACUGUGCUCGAAAUGCAAAUAUACAGGCCUCACUCCAGACCCACUGAACCAGACACUCUGGGGGAAAGCCUAGGAAUUCAUACUUCAACAAGCCCUCCAGAGCGCUCUUGAGCCCUGGGAAGGAAGGGGGAAUGUGAUAACAAUGAAGAAGCACAUCAUUCUGGAGCCUUCACAGAUGCUGGGCCUAACUCCCAGAAUACAGCCCUGAAGCAGCAGUCGGCCAUGAGAGCAGUAGCAGAGUGACUGGUCAGAUCCUGUCUAGGGGGAGACUAACACUUCUUGGAAAAAUGGAAUUAAGGUGUGAGUUUAUUUUGGUGCAAAAACAUUUGGAAAUCCACGCAUCGCCUUCUCACGAUAUACAUUUCCAUGACAUUUUUGAAGACCAGUUGUACAUGGAAAGUCUCCCACUGGCCAGUUUUUGAGCCUGGGAUUUAGAAGCAAAUGGAUUACACAGUGGCAGUGGCCAGAGUUUGGAGGGGAGAAACAUGGCGGCCUUGAUGCUCAGUACAAGGUUCUACUCCCUAGGAUGCCCACCUUCGCCCUCACCAUCGUGGUGAGAGCCUUGUUCUUCCAGCGUGCCUUUGAUCAAGGGGUGGAUGCUGUCUAUGAGCACAUCAGCCAUGGGAAGCUGUGGAGACACAUCAAGCACAAGUACAAGAACAAGGAGUAGUUCCUGGGAGGCACCCAUCCAGGCCAGAAGGACCAGGUCCACCCACUACCUGUUUGCCCAGAGCAGGGAUCUCAGCUUGAAGAUGGUGUCGAAGUUCUCCUUCACGGACUACCUGUAGCUAUUGGCAAGAAAUGACUUCACCUGACAAGCAGGCUCUUUACCUUCUGCUGUGUUUGAGGUAUCUUUAGUCACGGUCAUAAACAAAUAAAUGUAAAUUGUACCUGGAAAAAAAAAAAAGGAAAUGAAUUAUGCAGUGAGAAGAGAGAGAGGGACGGGGACAGAUGAUUAGCUCAACUUGGACAAUGUUUGUAAAGUGCUAACAGCCCCCAGAGAGUUGCUCCUGGAAGCAAUUGGGGUGGGAGUGAAUGACCAUUCUCUUCCCAUUUGCUCCUAAUCCAGUGUACUUAGCUGGAUAAAAACCCAGGGCCACCAAUAAAAAGCUAAAUUAUACCCAUAUUUUUAUAUUAGUAAAAUGGGAACACGUGAGGUAAAACUUAGAUAAAUGUAUGUGAAAAAUAGUGAAAGCUACAUGCUUGGGGACUUUCUUAUAAUCACUUUGUGUCUUCGGAAUACUUCUCAAAUGAUAGUUUAAAAUUUGACUGUGGGAUGCUAGAACUAAACAAAGAAUUGAAUGCCUUAAUUCACAAGUCACUAGUUGAAUUAGAGCUCUCGUGGGGAAAAAUAGUUCCCUCCAAACAGUCCUCUUAGCUCAGAUUUCAACAGCACCAGAAACAAGAGGGCAUCUCAAUGGGUCCCAUCAGAUUUUCUUUGUACCAUCAUUUUGAUCACUUUAGAUCCUCAUUUAACCACCACUACCCUCAAUUAAAAAAAAAAAAAAGUCAACUUUAAUAGGGCUUUCAAAAUCCAGUUAGCUUAAGUGCUGCAUUAUUAAAAAGCCAUCCCUUAACUACUAAAGCAGGCCCGUAAAACACAAUUUCACGGAGUGGCCCCAGGGUAAAUGUGUUUCAUUUAAGUUGUAUUUUGAUGUCUAUAGGCUUAUCAAACACAGGGAAGGUAUUCUCUGAAAUAAACUUAU